AACGAACGCUGGCGGCAUGCCUAACACAUGCAAGUCGAACGAGACCUUCGGGUCUAGUGGCGCACGGGUGCGUAACGCGGGGGAACCUGCCCUUAGGUUCGGAAUAACUCCCCGAAAGGGGUGCUAAUACCGGAUAAUGUCUUCGGACCAAAGAUUUAUCGCCUUUGGGUGGGCCCGCGUUGGAUUAGCUGGUUGGUAGGGUAAAAGCCUACCAAGGCGACGAUCCAUAGCUGGUCUGAGAGGAUGAUCAGCCACACUGGGACUGAGACACGGCCCAGACUCCUACGGGAGGCAGCAGUGGGGAAUAUUGGACAAUGGGCGAAAGCCUGAUCCAGCAAUGCCGCGUGAGUGAUGAAGGCCUUAGGGUUGUAAAGCUCUUUUACCCGGGAUGAUAAUGACAGUACCGGGAGAAUAAGCUCCGGCUAACUCCGUG
rnacentral:rRNA from 1 species